rnacentral:rRNA from 1 species
GACGAACGCUGGCGGCGUGCUUAACACAUGCAAGUCGAACGGAAAGGCCCUGCUUUUGUGGGGUGCUCGAGUGGCGAACGGGUGAGUAACACGUGAGUAACCUGCCCUUGACUUUGGGAUAACUUCAGGAUACUGGGGCUAAUACCGGAUAGGAGCUCCUGCUGCAUGGUGGGGGUUGGAAAGUUUCGGCGGUUGGGGAUGGACUCGCGGCUUAUCAGCUUGUUGGUGGGGUAGUGGCUUACCAAGGCUUUGACGGGUAGCCGGCCUGAGAGGGUGACCGGCCACAUUGGGACUGAGAUACGGCCCAGACUCCUACGGGAGGCAGCAGUGGGGAAUAUUGCACAAUGGGCGGAAGCCUGAUGCAGCAACGCCGCGUGCGGGAUGACGGCCUUCGGGUUGUAAACCGCUUUCGCCUGUGACGAAGCGUGAGUGACGGUAAUGGGUAAAGAAGCACCGACUAACUACGUG